rnacentral:rRNA from 1 species
UACGUAGGGUGCGAGCGUUAAUCGGAAUUACUGGGCGUAAAGUGUGCGCAGGCGGCCGAGCAAGUCGAGUGUGAAAGCCCCGAGCUUAACUUGGGAACUGCGCUCGAAACUACUUGGCUAGAGUGUGGCAGGGGGAGGUGGAAUUCCACGUGUAGCGGUGAAAUGCGUAGAGAUGUGGAGGAACACCGAUGGCGAAGGCAGCCUCCUGGGCCAACACUGACGCUCAUGCACGAAAGCGUGGGGAGCAAACAGG